GGGCCCACGCCCAGCAGGGAGGGGAGUCCUGCCACGGGAGGGACCAAUCAAGUGUAAAGCAGAGCGCAGACCCUGGGCCUUGGUUCAGUGGGAAAAGGCUUGGCCACUGGUUCAGAGCGCCGCAACUUUCACGGAUUAGUAGAGACACUAUUCUGAAGACUGAAAGGGGGAACACAGCACGGAGGCAGCAUCAAUGCAUGCGUGCACGCACACAAACACACAGUCACACAGGCUCCCUCUCUCGUACCCUUUCUCUCUCUCUCUCUCUCUCUCUCUCUCUCUCACACAAAACCCACCAACAGCUGGGAGGAGGGCGACAGCCAUUGCCAUAUUACCAUAGCAACGGCAUAUCUCACAUUUGAGCCCAAAUGAAGACACUUGGACGGCAACUGGGGUAUUUUUUUUCCCUCAGUUAUUGGAAGUAUUUUAAUAGUUUCUCUCCGUGCUUGUAGAAUCCACCCCCCCCACCCCCCUCCCCUCGCCUCCCCGACUCAGUUAACGAGCUACAAUUGGAUGUGCUCGGUGCAGACAAGCAUCUUGUCAUUUUGUAAAUUACAGGAUAUCCACACUGAGAAUUUAACUUGUGUAUUUACGUGGCAAAGGGGGGGUUUCGAUAAAUGCCGUGCAGUCUUUCAAAUUUCAGUUGAUCUUCAUUACUCCCAUUGGGUCCACUGUGGACUUCAGUGCAAACAAACGCAUCGCAUUUGAGAGAAGAGACACUUUCAAGUAAAGUAAUUGCGUUUCUUUCUCACGUUAAAUAACUUUCACUCUUCAAUGCCUUAAGCAGGUGGAACAACUUUGAAGAAUAAUCUCGAUCCGUGCUCAACAUGCAUUAGAUAAUUUCACUUUUUCAAUUUUAAAUGUAAUUCUUGAAAACAGAUACUUGAGGGCAGUUAAAUGCAGGGGGUUGGACCUGAAACGACUAAAAAACGACAAAUUACCUUAAAGACGCUUCUUAGAAAACCUGUUUGUAUUUUAGAAAGUUUAAAGUGCUGCAAAUGGAUUAAGACACAGUUUCAAAGAGCGUGCCCCUUAUCUUAUAAUAAAUAAAAGAAACAGAUUUGGAAUCCUUAUGUUCACAGUGUUAUCUAAAAUUACACAGGUAUAUUGUCUGCCGAGCUAAUUAAGUAAAGCACAUUUUCAGUGAAUAGUGUAGCUAUCAGAGUAAACAUCUGGCUCUGGCUGCUGUUGUCGAAUGAAACAUUUAAAGCUUUCAUCCGGCGCAACAAACGUCUUCGCUGUCCAUGGUGCGCUUAUUUUUGAUGAGUGCUUUUGGUUGCGUUUUGUCCUCAUUUUGGAAAGAGAGUAAACUGGUAAAUGGUGACGCAGUUCUGUUUCUGGAUGAGUUUUGGGGUACGAGAGCUCAAGUCCUAUUCCAUUCUGUUUAAUGGCAUCUCGUCCCCAGACAGCCUGUGUGUGUGUGUGUGUGUGUGUGUGUGUGUGUGUGUGUGAUUUAGCAUUCUUUGAGAUGAGGAGAGUAUUCCUGUACCAAGGGGCCUCCCCCCCCCAAUCCUGUGCUUGCUUUGAGUACAAUCAUCCAGCAAAGCGUUCCCUAUCUCCCUCGCGCUGACACACAUACACUCUCUCUCUCUCUCUCUCUCUCUCUCUCUGCUCAUCAUGCUUCGACUUUGAAGUCACUGCUUUCUCUUUCUCUUUUUUGGUCUUUGAUUCAAUAACAUUCUGUGCAUAGUUCCUGUAAUGCCUGGAUCCUUGUGCCUUUAUUUUUUCUUCCUCUGCCAGUGCAGGAACGCAUGGAAGCAAUGCUUACCGAAUGUCUGAUCCAUCGCUGGACACAAGAAUUAAACUCACCGUCGGGAUUGUGUCCCAGCUGGAGACUGUAAACCACUGGUGGCUGGGCAGAUGGACGUGUCCAACCAAAACAGGACGUUCAGCCACACGACCAGCGUUCUGCACUGAGCGCCACACGGUUGUUGUGAAGUGGUGUGUGAAGUGAUGCGCCUCUGUGUUACUUUUCCUAAACCCAAUGUUUGUUUUGUUUCCUAGACCUAAGAUUAGGAAGUUAUUUUGAUCCCAACCAGUUUGUUUUUCCGAAAACCUUUUACUGCUACAAAUAACGUAUGUUCUGUUGCAUAAUGUCGUCACGUGUAGACGCAGAUAAUACUUCCAAAUAAAUCGUAUCGAGGUCGCGCUGAACGUCCUCUUUCAUCCUGUUUCACAAAUUGCCAUGAGAUUGUGUAAAUGAGAGUCUUUGUUUUUGCUUGAUUGUGUGAGCAAUUGCAUGCCUUAAUGUACAGCCCUAUAGAAUAUAUAAUAAACUCUGCUGUUCAUUGUCCGUGGGAAAUCAAAAAUAAAAUAUUAUUUUCUAAACCUA